GAUGAACGCUAGCUACAGGCUUAACACAUGCAAGUCGAGGGGCAGCAUGGUCUUAGCUUGCUAAGGCCGAUGGCGACCGGCGCACGGGUGAGUAACACGUAUCCAACCUGCCGUCUACUCUUGGACAGCCUUCUGAAAGGAAGAUUAAUACAAGAUGGCAUCAUGAGUCCGCAUGUUCACAUGAUUAAAGGUAUUCCGGUAGACGAUAGGGAUGCGUUCCAUUAGAUAGUAGGCGGGGUAACGGCCCACCUAGUCUUCGAUGGAUAGGGGUUCUGAGAGGAAGGUCCCCCANAUUGGAACUGAGCACGGUCCAAACUCUACGGGAGCAGCAGUGAGGAAUAUUGGGUCCAAUGGGCGAGAGCCUGAACC
rnacentral:rRNA from 1 species